UACAGAGGUCUCAACCGUUGUUCGGAUUCAUUGGGCGUAAAGGGUGCGUAGGCGGUCGCGCAAGUCGGAUGUGAAAUCUCAGGGCUCAACCCUGAAACUGCAUUCGAUACUGCGUGACUAGAGUGCUGGAGGGGAGACUGGAAUUUACGGUGUAGCAGUGAAAUGCGUAGAUAUCGUAAGGAAGACCAGUGGCGAAGGCGAGUCUCUGGACAGCAACUGACGCUGAGGCACGAAGGCCAGGGGAGCAAACGGG
rnacentral:rRNA from 1 species